CUCCGUUUAUGGAGCUGCGUGCAAAAAUUAGUCUCUCUUUCCCUGAAGCAUUGCACGAUCGAGCCGUCGGCUCCGCGUGCAAAUAUCGACCGCUUCCAGGCGGGGGAGGCGCAUGAAAGAUUUCGCAAGGAGGGGGAAAACUUGCAGUGAGAGGGAAAUUCAGUGACGGGUCAUUUUCUCUUCCCGUUGGAAGAGCGUGUCCAUGUUUACUUGUGUGGAUCUGAAAUGGAUUUCGUUAUUUAAAGCAUUAAAAAGAGAUUGUGGUUGUUGUAAACAGAAUCUGCCCUUUUUCCCUUAUGGGGUAUCCAAGAACAUGGUCAUCAACGCAAAAAGGAGCCCAGAUAAGUGCAAGUGAGAAAACGGCCCCAGUUCUGAAGCUUUCAGUAUUAAAAGACGCCGCGCAAAAUGAAAAAAGCGAUUGGAAGGGGGAAAGAGCAUUCAACAUUAGGCUUUCUCCUGCCCUGCAACAGCAGUUUCUGACUUUGGAAGGCAUAAUGGCCUUCAGGCACAACUUUCUAAAUGGUACUGUGCAUUAUUUCAUUUGCUUCCUAAUUCAGCCCUGCUGCAUUUGGGGGCUCAUUCUUCUGAAUGGGGGGCCCUGGACUACUGCCCCAAAGUCCUGCCUUGACAGCGCUACAGGUCACAGUAAUAAAUCUGAUAUCUUUGGGGUUGCUUGCUGUUGUGUGGGGUGAAUCUAGUAAUAAUGUUAGAGCACUGUGUACGCACAUCCACCCACACAGAGAACAAGAGCUGGAAAUGACUGAGGUUUCUAUUUUGGAGAAGAAACAGACUUCUGUCACUGAACUUUUUGAACAAAGCACACUGAGUCCUGUACACACGGUAUGCCUUUCUUUGCAUUUUCCUCUGCACCCCAGUCAAAGCAGGCGCUGCUCCUCUUGCUCAGUCUCCUGUGCUGUGUGCAAACAACACAUGGCAAUAAAAACAUAUCUUGUGCCAUGUGCAAACUCCUUCCGGGGCCAGUGCAGCAGUUUUAUCUGGGAACAUGUUUAAUGCUGACUCAAGGGUGUGUCAGCCAUUGUGUGACCAAAGGGAAAGAGAAGUAAAAGUGAGGGGGGCAGUUCAUGAGAAAUAUGAUUGUGUUGCAAAGGUUUGUGCUGAUGGGAUUAAGCAAAAACUUACAUAGCAAAGGUGAUUUCCAAAAUCCGCAUUUUUAUUAAUUUUUCUUUCCUUUCAUUCCUUUUUCAUUAUUAACGAACUGCAUUUAAAUCAGACAGUUUUGACAUUCCAUCUCCUGAUGAAAAUAUUUCUUUUUUUGCCAUUCUUAGACAAUUUGAUUUAGCGUGAGUCAUUUGUUCUGUAUUUUAUUAUUUUAUACUUUAAUGAUGUUAUUGUUCAGUGCCAUCUCCCAAUGUUAUUCUCACAACAACUGUGGAAGCUAGGAGGGUAGGUAAGGUUAGUCUUAGAGAUGGUGACUAGCUUAGGGUUGCCCAGUGAGCUUCACGGCUGAACAGGGAUUGCAGGGUUUAUGACACCAACCAAAGUACCACAAAACAGUAACAGUGAGCAAGCUUCUGUAUUCUCUGGAACACUUCAUGAGGCUAUAUGUUAAAUGCAGCAGGGCUGAAAAAAAGCACACUCACUGAUAGUGAUGCCUGGAGUCUGCAUUUAGUCAUCAUCUUAAGGUGGAACGUGGGAGAAGGGAGCAGACAGUGAAGUUAAACUGUCCUACCUGCCCUGAAGGGUUCAUGUUGCAUCACAAGGGGUUUCUGUUGAGUGAUUUGAAAAAGAGAGAGAGAGAGAAUUAUCAUUAUGUCUUAAUGAUGAUACACCACUGCAGUUCACACUUCAACACUGGUGUUGUCAAUAUGUGCCAGGUCUUGGGGGAGAGGGCACCAUUGCCAAGAUAGAACCAA